rnacentral:rRNA from 1 species
UACAGAGGUCUCAAGCGUUGUUCGGAUUCAUUGGGCGUAAAGGGUGCGUAGGUGGCGGGGUAAGUCAGGUGUGAAAUCUCGAGGCUCAACCUCGAAACUGCACUUGAUACUGCCUUGCUUGAGUACUGGAGAGGAGAUUGGAAUUUACGGUGUAGCAGUGAAAUGCGUAGAUAUCGUAAGGAAGACCAGUGGCGAAGGCGAAUCUCUGGACAGUUACUGACACUGAGGCACGAAAGCCGGGGGAGCAAACAGG